rnacentral:rRNA from 1 species
UGAGGAAUAUUGGUCAAUGGGGCGCAGGCCUGAACCAGCCAAGUCGCGUGAGGGAGGACGGUUUUUUCCUACGGAUUGUAAACCUCUUUUGUCGGGGAGUAACGUGCGGGACGCGUCCCGUAUUGAGAGUACCCGAAGAAAAAGCAACGGCUAAUUACGUGCCAGCAGCCGCGGUAACACGUAAGUUGCGAGCGUUGUUCGGAAUUAUUGGGCGUAAAGGGCAUGUAGGCGGUUUUGCAAGCUUGGUGUGAAAUGCAUAGGCUCAACCUAUGAACUGCAUUGAGAACUACAAGACUUGAGUUACUGAGGUGGAACUGGAAUUCCAGGUGUAGGGGUGAAAUCUGCAGAUAUCUGGAAGAACACCAAUGGCGAAGGCAAGUUUCAAGCAGAUAACUGACGCUGAGGUGCGAAGGUGCGGGGAGCAAACAGGAUUAGAUACCCUGGUAGU